AACGCACAUUGCGCUUCCUGGUAUUCCGGGGAGCAUGCCCGUUUCAGAAUCAUAAAACACUCUCACUCUCACCCCGUGCUCCUAACAAGCAUGGGGUUUUUGGGUGGAUGUUGGACGACAUGUGGUUUAUUGGCUGCAAUCGUCUCAAAGUGAUGGCAUAUGCUCCACUUCCUAAGUAAGUUGGCCAGCAAGGUGCAACAGAUGUAAGUCUUUGAACACAUUGUUGCUGAUGGAAAUGGAUCUGGUUGCAUGCAUUCCCCUUACAGCCCCAGUCAGUUAUCAGUGCAGAGAUGCUCUGUGAAAACUGGGAUCAAAACAUGGUCUGAAAUCGGGCAAGAAAACCCGCUGAACUUAA
rnacentral:misc_RNA from 1 species